rnacentral:lncRNA from 1 species
AUUUCCCGCAGGAACAAUGGCGCUGUCUUCAGUGGCACAGUGGAGCAGCUCUGAAGAUGCAAAGAUACACGAAAAAACUUCCAGAACAUCUGGGAGAAUAUUUAAUGGAAAAUCGCUUGGUUAAAACCUGACACUCUUAACAGGUAUGUGUUGUUUUAGUACUUUAUGAUUGAGCAUACCAUUUAAUCCACACCUAAACUAAAUCAAAUUUUUUUUGUCAGUGAACAGCGUUCUGAGUGUGGACGAGUAGCCAGUGAAGAUAAUGAAUGUCGAACGUGACUGACUAGCAGCUUCAUUUUGAAUGAGGGUCGCUGUCUGCCCAUUGAUAGAGGCCAGAUUGUCUUGGAAGUUCCAAAGUUGCAACGAUUUCUGUAAGUGGAGUUUUUCUGUUUGCUUAGAGAUCAGUGAAUAUUGUGUCCUUGGUCUUAUCUGUGAUGAUCUUAUCCCGAACCUGAACUUCUGUUGA